AUGUCACUGCUUCAAGUAUGGUGGUGGCCUCUUUGGAGUGACCUUGGUAAUGUCUACGCAAACCUUUUAGGCAGUUCUUUCAUUGCAAAUGCAUGCAAUUCAACAGAACCGAGCAUACCUGGGAAAUCUCUUGCUACUUCAAUUAUUAAUAACUUUUUUGUGUUCUCAAUAGUUGGUUCUGAGGUACUCCGGUCCAAACACCUUCACCACGGCGCGGGCAAAUUUCACCAUGCCCUCAAGGGAUGUGGUCUCUCCAUCCGGACUUUAGCAUCAAAAGCAUUUGCGGCUUUACCACAUGCAAGAAUCAUGAGAGCAGCGGUGCAUUCCUACAUGGAAGAGAAGAAAAGUUGUCUGCAAUAA
rnacentral:rRNA from 1 species